GGAGAGAUGACCGAGUUGGCCGAAGGUGCACGCCUGCUAAGCGUGUGUAGGGGUAAAACCUUACCGCGGGUUCGAAUCCCGCUCUCUCCGCCA
rnacentral:tRNA from 1 species